UGCCGGGUGGACGAUUGGCAAGUCGCCGCGACUCUGAAUCGCGGAGAGGUUGGUUCGACCCCAACCCCGGCAUCCA
rnacentral:tRNA from 2 species